rnacentral:rRNA from 1 species
UACGGAGGGGGCUAGCGUUGUUCGGAAUUACUGGGCGUAAAGCGCGCGUAGGCGGACCUGCAAGUCGGGAGUGAAAGCCCGAGGCUCAACCUCGGAACUGCCUUCGAUACUGCGGGUCUCGAGUCCGGGAGAGGUGAGUGGAAUUCCUAGUGUAGAGGUGAAAUUCGUAGAUAUUAGGAAGAACACCAGUGGCGAAGGCGGCUCACUGGCCCGGUACUGACGCUGAGGCGCGAAAGCGUGGGGAGCAAACAGG